AGAGUGGCAGACGGGUGAGUAACGCGUGGGAAUCUACCGUGCCCUACGGAAUAGCUCCGGGAAACUGGAAUUAAUACCGUAUACGCCCUUCGGGGGAAAGAUUUAUCGGGGUAUGAUGAGCCCGCGUUGGAUUAGCUAGUUGGUGGGGUAAAGGCCUACCAAGGCGACGAUCCAUAGCUGGUCUGAGAGGAUGAUCAGCCACAUUGGGACUGAGACACGGCCCAAACUCCUACGGGAGGCAGCAGUGGGGAAUAUUGGACAAUGGGCGCAAGCCUGAUCCAGCCAUGCCGCGUGAGUGAUGAAGGUCUUAGGAUUGUAAAGCUCUUUCACCGGAGAAGAUAAUGACGGUAUCCGGAGAAGAAGCCCCGGCUAACUUCGUGCCAGCAGCCGCGGUAAUACGAAGGGGGCUAGCGUUGUUCGGAAUUACUGGGCGUAAAGCGCACGUAGGCGGAUAUUUAAGUCAGGGGUGAAAUCCCGCAGCUCAACUGCGGAACUGCCUUUGAUACUGGGUAUCUUGAGUAUGGAAGAGGUUAGUGGAAUUGCGAGUGUAGAGGUGAAAUUCGUAGAUAUUCGCAGGAACACCAGUGGCGAAGGCGGCUAACUGGUCCAUAACUGACGCUGAGGUGCGAAAGCGU
rnacentral:rRNA from 1 species